rnacentral:rRNA from 1 species
AACGAACGCUGGCGGCAGGCCUAACACAUGCAAGUCGAGCGAGGACUUCGGUUCUAGCGGCGGACGGGUGAGUAACGCGUGGGAAUGUGCCCUUCUCUACGGAAUAGCCCUGGGAAACUGGGAGUAAUACCGUAUACGCCCAUUGGGGAAAGAUUUAUCGGAGAAGGAUCAGCCCGCGUUGGAUUAGGUAGUUGGUGGGGUAAUGGCCUACCAAGCCGACGAUCCAUAGCUGGUUUGAGAGGAUGAUCUGCCACACUGGGACUGAGACACGGCCCAGACUCCUACGGGAGGCAGCAGUGGGGAAUCUUAGACAAUGGGGGCAACCCUGAUCUAGCCAUGCCGCGUGAGUGAUGAAGGCCUUAGGGUUGUAAAGCUCUUUCAGCUGGGAAGAUAAUGACGGUACCAGCAGAAGAAGCCCCGGCUAACUCCGUG